rnacentral:rRNA from 1 species
CUCGUGUCGUGAGAUGUUGGGUUAAGUCCCGCAACGAGCGCAACCCUCGACCUUAGUUGCCAGCAUUCAGUUGGGCACUCUAAGGUGACUGCCGGCUAAAAGUCGGAGGAAGGUGGGGAUGACGUCAAAUCAUCAUGCCCCUUAUGACCUGGGCUACACACGUGCUACAAUGGGCGGUACAAAGGGUCGCGAACCCGCGAGGGGGAGCCAAUCCCAAAAAGCCGCUCUCAGUUCGGAUUGCAGGCUGCAACUCGCCUGCAUGAAGCCGGAAUCGCUUAGUAAUCGCGGAUCAGCAUGCCGCGGUGAAUACGUUCCCGGGCCUU